rnacentral:rRNA from 1 species
CCUACGGGUGGCAGCAGUGAGGAAUAUUGGUCAAUGGACGGAAGGCUGAACCAGCCAAGUAGCGUGCGGGAAGACUGCUCUAUGGGUUGUAAACUGCUUUUAUGCGGGGGUAAAGGUGUCUACGUGUGUUUGUUUGCAGGUACCGCACGAAUAAGGACAGGCUAAUUCCGUGCCAGCAGCCGCGGUAAUACGGAAGGUCCGUGCGUUAUCCGGAUUUAUUGGGUUUAAAGGGUGCGUAGUCGGGUCGUUAAGUGCGCCGUGAAAUUUUGUGGCUUAACCCUGGAACUGCCGCGAAAACUGGAGACCUUGAGUGCGGGAGAGGCAGGCGGAAUUGUUGGUGGAGCGGUGAAAUGCUUAGAUAUAACGAAGAACCCCGAUUGCGAAGGCAGCAUACCGGUGCACAACUGACGGUGAGGCACGAAAGCGUGGGUAGCAAACAGGAUUAGAUACCCUGGUAGUC